GGUAGYUGUUACGGACUUAAAAUUCCNUUGAACGUAAAAGGGCCUGGGGGUUCAAGUCCCCCCACCCCCC
rnacentral:tRNA from 1 species